rnacentral:lncRNA from 1 species
AGUUCACUGGCUCUCCCCUGCCUGUUGUGUUCACUGUCUGCUCUCAGGUGAGGAAACUGGGACACAGAGAGGUUACAUGUGGUGACAGUUUGGUGCCAUGAAGAUUGAUUGAAAGAUCUAGGGCUGUCUAGCCUGAAGAAGAUUCAAGGGAAUGUGGGCCUCUUGUCUUCAGACUUCUCUCAGAGUCCAAGAGAACAGGUGUAUUUGUACAUGGCCACUGAGGGCAGAGCUGGAACCCAAGAGUGGAAGCAUAUCUGGACUUAAUGAAAGGAAAAAAUCUGCCUUAGGAGUCAGAGUUGUCUGUGGGUAAAACAGGUUGCCUGGAGAGGAAGGGAGAUGUCUAAGCAGAGGCUGGAUGAUCACUCAAGAAGGGAGGAGGUGAAGAAGAUGUUCCUAAAGGUUUCUUGUAGUUCUGAGGGGCUAGACAUCUCUAUUUUCUGGCUGCAC